GUGGGGAAUAUUGGACAAUGGGCGCAAGCCUGAUCCAGCCAUGCCGCGUGAGUGAUGAAGGCCUUAGGGUUGUAAAGCUCUUUCACCGGUGAAGAUAAUGACGGUAACCGGAGAAGAAGCCCCGGCUAACUUCGUGCCAGCAGCCGCGGUAAUACGAAGGGGGCUAGCGUUGUUCGGAAUUACUGGGCGUAAAGCGCACGUAGGCUGAUAUUUAAGUCAGGGGUGAAAUCCCGGGGCUCAACCCCGGAACUGCCUUUGAUACUGGGUAUCUUGAGUAUGGAAGAGGUCAGUGGAAUUGCGAGUGUAGAGGUGAAAUUCGUAGAUAUUCGCAGGAACACCAGUGGCGAAGGCGGCUGACUGGUCCAUUACUGACGCUGAGGUGCGAAAGCGUGGGGAGCAAACAGGAUUAGAAACCCUUGUAGUCC
rnacentral:rRNA from 1 species